CCUACGGGUGGCUGCAGUGGGGAAUCUUGCACAAUGGGGGAAACCCUGAUGCAGCGACGCCGCGUGAGCGAUGAAGCCCUUCGGGGUGUAAAGCUCUUUCGGCAGGAACGAUAAUGACGGUACCUGCAGAAGAAGCUGCGGCUAACUACGUGCCAGCAGCCGCGGUAAUACGUAGGCAGCAAGCGUUGUUCGGAGUUACUGGGCGUAAAGAGUGCGUAGGUGGUUCUCGAAGUUCGGUGUGAAAUCUCCCGGCUCAACUGGGAGGGUGCGCCGAAAACUGGAGAGCUUGAGUAUGGGAGAGGAGAGCGGAAUUCCUGGUGUAGCGGUGAAAUGCGUAGAUAUCAGGAGGAACACCUGUGGUGCAGACGGCUCUCUGGACCAUUACUGACACUGAGGCACGAAAGCGUGGGGAGCAAACAGGAUUAGAUACCCCUGUAGUC
rnacentral:rRNA from 1 species